UUUUUAAAUUAACUGAACAUUUACACAAAAGAGACAGGGGUUUAAAACUAAACAGAUAGUGGAAACAGUUUAACUUUCAACAACAGUGUACAUGUUGAGAGCAAAUAUAGACUAGUAGAGAAAAUUGCCUUUUUGCACAUCUGGGUUGAUAUUAUAAGAUUUAAGCAACUAUAAUAUAAAAUUCUAUACACAUAGGCAGUGAGAAAAAACUUUUAUGGUCUGAAACAAUUUUCAUGCUAUAUGUCAUAAUAGAAGGUCUUCUAGAAUCCAUGUAUGCCCAACAAAAGCCACUGAAGGGAAGCUUACCAGAGUGCCAUCGAGUUCCUUCCCCUAAGGAUCAGACUUCCAGACUCAAGUGUCAUUUGACCUGGUAUCCAGCUUAAUACAGCCUCUGCUUUUGAAUAGAUUUCCUUACAAGUGGCAAUCUCUAAUAGGGUCAUGUCGAGAGGCAACCCGACUGCAUACUACCUACUGCACGUUAACGUGAUGAAGGUCUCUCCUGAGCACACGGCUUCAUAAACCAGCUGCACAAGCAACUGCAUCUGGGGAUCUGCUUCAAGAGAAACUUAACUAAAGCAAGAAUGGGCUCUAACUUCAGGAUACCUAGGAUUCUAACCUCGUUCCAUUACUUACCAACGAUAUGACCUGGGAAAAAUUAUAUACCUGCUGUAAGCCUCAAUGUCCUCAUUUGAAAUACACACAUAAUAGUAGGAUCUCUCUUACAAGGUUGCUGAAAAUAUAAACAGUGGUUAUCAAUGGAAAAAGCUUCUCUCAGUGCUUGGCAAAUAGGAAGCACUUAAUAAGUGUUUUCCGGUAUUUUUAUGAUUAUCAUCAUUACUAUAAUU
rnacentral:lncRNA from 1 species